rnacentral:rRNA from 1 species
GGGGGGGGGGGGGGGGGGGGGGGGGGGGGGGGGGGCGGGGGGGGGGGGGGGGGCGGGGGUGGUGGGGGGGGGUGGGUGGCGAACGGGGGGGUAACACGUGAGUAACCUGCCCCCUUCUUCUGGAUAACCGCAUGAAAGUGUGGCGAAUACGGGAUAUUCUGGGUCUGUCGCAUGAUGGGUCUGGGGAAGAUAUUGUUUCGGGGGGGGAUGUGCUCGCGGCCUAUCAGCUUGUUGGUGGGGUGAUGGCCUACCAAGGCGGUGACGGGUAGCCGGCCUGAGAGGGUGGACGGUCACACUGGGACUGAGACACGGCCCAGACUCCUACGGGAGGCAGCAGUGGGGAAUAUUGCACAAUGGGCGCAAGCCUGAUGCAGCGACGCCGCGUGAGGGAUGGAGGCCUUCGGGUUGUGAACCUCUUUCGCCAGUGAAGCAGGCCUGCCUCGUUUGUGGGUGGGUUGACGGUAGCUGGAGAAGAAGCGCCGGCUAACUACGUG